CAUGCACGACUAUAUUUGCCGGAUUCGUUCUGAGCGGAUUGAUCUCCCACCAUUGGAGUGCAUCUGAUGUUGUACCUGUGCGACCCGCACAUUUAUCCGAUGGAUACUAUCUUUGGGUUACCCCGUUGCCUUUUUGUCGGGAGAGCCGUCUUUUCUAGAAAACAAUUUAAAUUGAUUUCAAUCAAAAAAUGCCUUUUUGUUUUCGGGGAUUUCGGUGUUUUCAAUUUUCGGUUUCGGUUAUUGUCCCUCUCAUUCUCCUCGGCACUUGCUCUUCUGGUCUUCAAAGGUUUUUUCGUAUUUGUCGAUGUUUAGUUUUUGGUUUUCAGUUUUGAGUUUUCGGGAAAAAGGGACAGGGACACACGCUUUCAGCGUAAAGAUCGCAUUUAAACGAAACAAAAUUUGACUUUAUAAUAAUGCCUGGGCAGGGGAUGUGUCUAAGCCAGCAUAUCCAGCAUAGCAGAUCCAGUCAGCGAGCGGCGAUCCACGAGAUACAAUACCGGAUUAUGGCCUUUUGUUGCUGCCUUUUUGAUCACUUCGAUGCUCUUGUAUAGUAUCUGCCAUGUAAAUCGGCUGCAAAUUAUAAGGCAGGCCAAUUGGAUCUUGGCCAAGAAGAGCCGAGCUAAGCACCCCAUGGAGUUCCGCAAGCGGCACAGAUGUGGCCAUCAGAUGAGAUGAGCCACUGGGGCGGCAACAAAAGGAUCCGUAUCCAGAUACAGCUACAGAUGGGAGGAACAGGGAAUGGCUGGAAUAAAUGGCAAUGUUUCGAGCAAUUUUCGUUAUAAUUAAAUGCACCAACGAACGGCAGCGAAAAAGACAGGAGGCCGACGAAAAUUAUUAUAAUUAAAUGCACCCGCCAAUGCGCAUUUCAAGCGAAUUGUUUUAUAAUUUCCAAUUGCAGCUGGCUGCCUGGUUCGCCUUGCACCUGAUCCACAAGCCGGACUUUGGCAAUAAACUAAAUAUUUCCGCCA